rnacentral:rRNA from 1 species
GCAUUAAUCGGAUUUAUUGGGCGUAAAGGGCGCGUAGGCGGAAAUGCCAGUCAGAUGUGAAAGCCCGGGGCUCAACCCCGGAACAGCAUUUGAAACUACAUUUCUAGAGGGUAGACGGAGAAAACGGAAUUCCACAAGUAGCGGUGAAAUGCGUAGAUAUGUGGAAGAACACCAGUGGCGAAGGCGGUUUUCUAGUUUAUACCUGACGCUGAGGCGCGAAAGCAAG